rnacentral:rRNA from 1 species
UACGUAGGUGGCAAGCGUUGUCCGGAUUUAUUGGGCUUAAAGGGUGCGUAGGCGGCCCUGUAAGUCAGUGCUGAAAUCUCCCGGCUUAACCGGGAGGGUGGCAUUGAUACUGCGGGGCUAGAGUACAGAUGAGGUAGGCGGAAUUGACGGUGUAGCGGUGAAAUGCUUAGAUAUCGUCAAGAACACCUAUAGCGAAGGCAGCUUACUAGGCUGUAACUGACGCUGAGGCACGAAAGUGUGGGGAUCAAACAGG